rnacentral:ncRNA from 2 species
UUCAUUCUAAAUCGAUGAGGUGUUCUGAGAAGACUAAAAGUCUGUUCUUCGCAGAAUGAAAAGGGAAGAACGUGAGCUCAAUGCAAUGAGUGAUCCGUUCACUGCCCCCGCAACGGUAAGUACCAUAUGGAAGUUAGCAAGAAGGCGACCACUGAGCCAAUCACAGACGUUGAUUUGUUUGGGAAGGUGGCCGACUUAAGGUGUUAUUUAUUUCGCCUUAGUAGGCAAUUCGAUUGUCAAUGCUGUACUGAGUCCGGAGACCUGCCUUAUCACUCAUUCAUUA